GGUAGCAUAAUCAUUAGUCUCCUAAUUAGAGGCUUGUAUGAAUGGUCGGACAAGAUGGAAACUGUCUCAGUACAAACAAUAAAAUUUAAUACUUAAGUAAAAAAGCUUAAAUAAGAUGGAGGGACGAUAAGACCCUAUAAAGCUUUAUAGUAAUACCUUUUUAUUUAAAAUAUAAAAUGUUAACUUGUUAAAAGAGUAUUAUUAUUUUACUGGGGCGGUAAAAGUAUAUAAUGAUUAACUGCUUUUGUCUUACUAAACAAUAAUAAUUGAAUAAUUAUGUGAUCCAUUAUUAAUGAUCAAAAGUACAAGUUACUUUAGGGAUAACAGCGUAAUUUUUCUUGAGAGUCCUUAUCGAAAGAAAAGUUUGCGACCUCGAUGUUGAAUUAAGGAAGCCUUAAGGUGCAGCAGUUUUAAUAGGCAGAUCUGUUCGAUCUUUAAAUCUUUACAUGAUUUG
rnacentral:rRNA from 1 species